AUUGAACGCUGGCGGCAGGCCUAACACAUGCAAGUCGAACGCACCGCAAGGUGAGUGGCGCACGGGUGAGUAACACGUGGGAAUGUACCCUUUGGUUCGGAAUAACGUCUGGAAACGGACGCUAAUACCGGAUGAGCCCUGCGGGGGAAAGAUUUAUCGCCAAAGGAGCAGCCCGCGUCUGAUUAGCUAGUUGGUGGGGUAAAGGCCUACCAAGGCGACGAUCAGUAGCUGGUCUGAGAGGAUGAUCAGCCACACUGGGACUGAGACACGGCCCAGACUCCUACGGGAGGCAGCAGUGGGGAAUAUUGGACAAUGGGCGAAAGCCUGAUCCAGCCAUGCCGCGUGAGUGAUGAAGGCCUUCGGGUUGUAAAGCUCUUUCGCACGCGACGAUGAUGACGGUAGCGUGAGAAGAAGCCCCGGCUAACUUCGUGCCAGCCGCCGCGGUAACAC
rnacentral:rRNA from 1 species